ACACCUGGUCUAGUGUCUUCUGAGACGCUUCAACCAGGCUUGCUGUCUUUUGCAGUUCGUCGAAGUGGACUGAGGGUACUGACUGGCUCUGUGGGGACGACUUGGCUUGUGGGUUGCUUCUUUGUGGGACGGGGAACGAAACAUUCUCUGAGAUCUUAAGCGAAAAGAAGAAUGGAUUUUCCAGAAGACAGCAAACCAGACCGGAAAAUUCCUGACAAAUCUGGGAAACGAAGACGACAGAAGCAAGAGAGCAGCGCCUUUGGACAUGGAAGCGACCGCCCUGACCUUGAAUCUUCGUCAGAGGGACGGAACGUCGCUACUGUAGAGACUACACAGGAUCGGGAAAUAUUCGGCAAGAUUCGGCGACGAAG